CUCAGUAACAAGGAUGUGGUGCCUGAGGGAAAGGAUGUUGGUUGCCACGGCAACCCAGCACAUCCAUGUCACCAGAGACCACCACGCGGCAUACAAAGAAUCCAGACAGAAAAAGCCUUUCCAGCACCUGGCUGACAGCUGCUUAUCCCUGGUUAUCCCACCUGCCUGCCGCAGGACCACACAAACCAAACUAACACGGCUGUUACUCUGAGAUCCUCUUUGGCAUGACAUUUUUUCGCCCCUGAAUACGUGCUCACUUGAGUCAAAGCAAUUGCGGCCCCCCCACCCGCUGUGGCAAGUUGGACUUAAAUUCUGUGGCACCCUGGCAAUUCUGCAGCUCAGCUCCAUGGAAAUCUGACAAAGAGAUGGAGGCAACAUGGAAGCAGGUUUUGGGGACGAAGAUGAUGAUGAUGAGGUUGUAGAUAGCUCACAGCAAGCAAGCGGAGAAACCGGUUUUCCCGACAGCCAGGAACUGUUUCUCACCCUGGACCUGGAGCCAGUACCCCCCGAACCCACCCAAGGCUGCCUCCUGGACCCGGCAGGCAGAGAAGGGACCUCCGCUGCAGGUGUUUCAACGAUCACAGGAUCUUCUCCUUCCCAGAGGCUAGUGAAGAUUAGAAAGGAAAAAAAAACGCACUCGUGAUGAAAUGUUCUGAGCUCAUGCUGUCCUCCCACACUGACAGAGCACAGACGAAUGCGUGGAGGCAAAUAAUGUCAGAGUGCAGGAAAGCACAAAAUGACCGGGAGGAGAGGUGGCAGGCUGAUGAGAGGGCUGAAGCUCAAAUGUGGCGGCAGCAUGAUGAGAGGAGGCGGGAUUCAAUGCUGAGGCUGCUGGAGGAUCAAACCAGUAUGCUCCAGUGUAUGGCUGAGCUGCAGCAAAGGCAGCUGGAGCACAGACUGCCACUACAGCCCCUGUGUAACCAACCGCCCUCCUCCCCAAGCUCCAUAGCCUCCACACCCAGAUGCCCAAGAAUGCGGGGGGGGAGGGCCCUCCGGCCAACCAGUCACUCCACCACAGAGGAUUGCCCAAAAACAGAAGGCUGGCAU